AUGGUUACUGAGCUCCGAGAGGGAAUGGGUCGAGCCGGCCCCACCCUGACGGUGCUGCCCCCCUCCAGUGAGGAGCUGCUGAAGGGGAAGGCCACGCUCAUGUGCCUGGCCAACAAGGGCUUCCCCUCAGACUGGAGUCUGGCCUGGAAGGUGGACCGGCAGCAGCAGCAGCUGGGAGGAGAGCAGGACCCCGGGGUGCUGGGGAAGGACGGCAAAUACAGCUGGAGCAGCACCCUGAGGCUCCCUAAAGACCAGUGGGAGAAGGUGGGCUCUGUGACCUGUGAGGCCACCCAGGGCUCCCAGGCUCCGCUCUCAGAGACACUGAGGAGAGACCAGUGUUCCCAGUCCUGA